AUUGAACGCUGGCGGCAGGCCUAACACAUGCAAGUCGAGCGGAGCGGCGGACGGGUGAGUAAUGCCUAGGAAUCUGCCUGGUAGUGGGGGAUAACGUCCGGAAACGGGAGCUAAUACCGCAUACUAUCAGAUGAGCCUAGUUCGGAUUAGCUAUUUGGUGGGGUAAAGGCCUACCAAGGCGCCGAUCCGUAACUGGGCUGAGAGUAUGAUCAGUCACACUGGAACUGAGACACGGGCCAGACUCCUACGUGAGGCAGCAGUGGGGAAUAGUGUACAAUGGGCGAAAGCCUGAUGCAGCCAUGCCGCGUGUGUGAAGAAGGUCUUCGGAUUGUAAAGCACUUUAAGUUGGAAGGCGUUACCAACAGAAUAAGCACCGGCUAACUUCGUGCCAGCAGCCGCGGUAAGUC
rnacentral:rRNA from 1 species